rnacentral:rRNA from 1 species
GACGAACGCUGGCGGCGUGCUUAACACAUGCAAGUCGAACGGAAAGGCCCUGCUUGCAGGGUACUCGAGUGGCGAACGGGUGAGUAACACGUGGGUGAUCUGCCCUGCACUUCGGGAUAAGCCUGGGAAACUGGGUCUAAUACCGGAUAGGAGCCAGUUUUAGUGUGAGUGUUGGAAAGUUUUUUCGGUGUAGGAUGAGCUCGCGGCCUAUCAGCUUGUUGGUGGGGUAAUGGCCUACCAAGGGGGCGACGGGUAGCCGGCCUGAGAGGGUGGACGGACACAGUGGGACUGAGAUACGGCCCAGACUCCUACGGGAGGCAGCAGUGGGGAAUAUUGCACAAUGGGCGCAAGCCUGAUGCAGCGACGCCGCGGGGGGGAUGACGGCCUUCGGGUUGUAAACUCCUUUCGCUAGGGACGAAGCUUUUUGUGACGGUACCUAGAUAAGAAGCACCGGCUAACUACGUG